GAAAUGCGAUAAGUAAUGUGAAUUGCAGAAUUCAGUGAAUCAUCGAAUCUUUGAACGCACCUUGCGCUCCUUGGUAUUCCUUGGAGCAUGCCUGUUUGAGUAUCAUGAAAUCUUCAAAGUAAAUCUUUUGUUAACUCAAUUGGUUUCUACUUUGGUAUUGGAGGUCUUUGCAGCUUCACACCUGCUCCUCUUUGUUCAUUAGCUGGAUCUCAGUGUUAUGCUUGGUUCCACUCGGCGUGAUAAGUUAUCUAUCGCUGAGGACACUGUAAAAGGUGGCCAAGGUAAAUGCAGAUGAACCGCUUCUAAUAGUCCAUUGACUUGGACGAUACUUUUAUGAUCUGAUCUCAAAUCAGGUAGGACUACCCGCUGAACUUAAGC
rnacentral:misc_RNA from 1 species